UCAUCUCCGGGGGUAGAGCACUGUUUCGGCUAGGGGGCCAUCCCGGCUUACCAACCCGAUGCAAACUGCGAAUACCGGAGAAUGUUAUCACGGGAGACACACGGCGGGUGCUAACGUCCGUCGUGAAGAGGGAAACAACCCAGACCGCCAGCUAAGGUCCCAAAGUCAUGGUUAAGUGGGAAACGAUGUGGGAAGGCCCAGACAGCCAGGAUGUUGGCUUAGAAGCAGCCAUCAUUUAAAGAAAGCGUAAUAGCUCACUGGUCGAGUCGGCCUGCGCGGAAGAUGUAACGGGGCUAAACCAUGCACCGAAGCUGCGGCAGCGANNGUUGGGUAGGGGAGCGUUCUGUAAGCCUGUGAAGGUGGCCUGUGAGGGUUGCUGGAGGUAUCAGAAGUGCGAAUGCUGACAUAAGUAACGAUAAAGCGGGUGAAAAGCCCGCUCGCCGGAAGACCAAGGGUUCCUGUCCAACGUUAAUCGGGGCAGGGUGAGUCGACCCCUAAGGCGAGGCCGAAAGGCGUAGUCGAUGGGAAACGGGUUAAUAUUCCCGUACUUGGUGUUACUGCGAAGGGGGGACGGAGAAGGCUAUGUUGGCCGGGCGACGGUUGUCCCGGUUUAAGCGUGUAGGUGUGUGUUCCAGGUAAAUCCGGUUCACUUUAACACUGAGGCGUGAUGACGAGGCACUACGGUGCUGAAGCAACAAAUGCCCUGCUUCCAGGAAAAGCCUCUAAGCAUCAGGUAACAUCAAAUCGUACCCCAAACCGACACAGGUGGUCAGGUAGAGAAUACCAAGGCGCUUGAGAGAACUCGGGUGAAGGAACUAGGCAAAAUGGUGCCGUAACUUCGGGAGAAGGCACGCUGACACGUAGGUGAAGUGAUUUACUCAUGGAGCUGAAGUCAGUCGAAGAUACCAGCUGGCUGCAACUGUUUAUUAAAAACACAGCACUGUGCAAACACGAAAGUGGACGUAUACGGUGUGACGCCUGCCCGGUGCCGGAAGGUUAAUUGAUGGGGUCAGCGCAAGCGAAGCUCCUGAUCGAAGCCCCGGUAAACGGCGGCCGUAACUAUAACGGUCCUAAGGUAGCGAAAUUCCUUGUCGGGUAAGUUCCGACCUGCACGAAUGGCGUAAUGAUGGCCAGGCUGUCUCCACCCGAGACUCAGUGAAAUUGAACUCGCUGUGAAGAUGCAGUGUACCCGCGGCAAGACGGAAAGACCCCGUGAACCUUUACUAUAGCUUGACACUGAACAUUGAGCCUUGAUGUGUAGGAUAGGUGGGAGGCUUUGAAGUGUGGACGCCAGUCUGCAUGGAGCCGACCUUGAAAUACCACCCUUUAAUGUUUGAUGUUCUAACGUGGACCCGUAAUCCGGGUUGCGGACAGUGUCUGGUGGGUAGUUUGACUGGGGCGGUCUCCUCCUAAAGAGUAACGGAGGAGCACGAAGGUUGGCUAAUCCUGGUCGGACAUCAGGAGGUUAGUGCAAUGGCAUAAGCCAGCUUGACUGCGAGCGUGACGGCGCGAGCAGGUGCGAAAGCAGGUCAUAGUGAUCCGGUGGUUCUGAAUGGAAGGGCCAUCGCUCAACGGAUAAAAGGUACUCCGGGGAUAACAGGCUGAUACCGCCCAAGAGUUCAUAUCGACGGCGGUGUUUGGCACCUCGAUGUCGGCUCAUCACAUCCUGGGGCUGAAGUAGGUCCCAAGGGUAUGGCUGUUCGCCAUUUAAAGUGGUACGCGAGCUGGGUUUAGAACGUCGUGAGACAGUUCGGUCCCUAUCUGCCGUGGGCGCUGGAGAACUGAGGGGGGCUGCUCCUAGUACGAGAGGACCGGAGUGGACGCAUCACUGGUGUUCGGGUUGUCAUGCCAAUGGCACUGCCCGGUAGCUAAAUGCGGAAGAGAUAAGUGCUGAAAGCAUCUAAGCACGAAACUUGCCCCGAGAUGAGUUCUCCCUGAGACUU
rnacentral:rRNA from 1 species